rnacentral:rRNA from 1 species
GUGGGGAAUAUUGGACAAUGGGCGCAAGCCUGAUCCAGCCAUGUCGCGUGAGUGAUGAAGGCCCUAGGGUUGUAAAGCUCUUUCAGUGGGGACGAUAAUGACGGUACCCACAGAAGAAGCCCCGGCUAACUUCGUGCCAGCAGCCGCGGUAAUACGAAGGGGGCUAGCGUUGUUCGGAUUUACUGGGCGUAAAGCGCACGUAGGCGGAUCGUUAAGUCGAGGGUGAAAUCCUGGAGCUCAACUCCAGAACUGCCUUCGAUACUGGCGAUCUUGAGUCCGGAAGAGGUGAGUGGAACUCCUAGUGUAGAGGUGGAAUUCGUAGAUAUUAGGAAGAACACCAGUGGCGAAGGCGGCUCACUGGUCCGGUACUGACGCUGAGGUGCGAAAGCGUGGGGAGCAAACAGGAUUAGAAACCCGAGUAGUCC